rnacentral:rRNA from 1 species
CCUACGGGAGGCAGCAGUAGGGAAUCUUUCACAAUGGGCGAAAGCCUGAUGGAGCAACGCCGCGUGCAGGAUGAAGGCCUUCGGGUUGUAAACUGCUUUUAUAAGCGAGAAAUAUGAUGGUAACUUAUGAAUAAGGAUCGGCUAACUACGUGCCAGCAGCCGCGGUCAUACGUAGGAUCCGAGCAUUAUCCGGAGUGACUGGGUGUAAAGAGUUGCGUAGGUGGCAUAAUAAGUAGCUAGUGAAAUCUGGUGGCUCAACCAUUCAGACUAUUAGCUAAACUGUUAAGCUCGAGACCGUUAGGGGUAACUGGAAUUUCUAGUGUAGGAGUGAAAUCCGUAGAUAUUAGAAGGAACACCAAUAGCGUAGGCAGGUUGCUGAGACGGUUCUGACACUAAGGCACGAAAGCGUAGGGAGCAAACGGGAUUAGAUACCCGUGUAGUC